rnacentral:rRNA from 1 species
UGGGGAAUUUUGCACAAUGGGGGCAACCCUGAUGCAGCGACGCCGCGUGAUUUAGAAGGCCUUCGGGUUGUAAAAAUCUUUUGUAUAGGAAGAAAAUGACAGUACUAUACGAAUAAGGUCCGGCUAAUUACGUGCCAGCAGCCGCGGUAAUACGUAAGGACCGAGCGUUGUCCGGAAUCAUUGGGCGUAAAGGGUACGUAGGCGGUUAAAAAAGUUAGAAGUGAAAGGCUAUAGCUCAACUAUAGUAAGCUUUUAAAACUGUUUAACUUGAGAGAUGGAAGGGAAAGUGGAAUUCCUAGUGUAGCGGUGAAAUGCGCAGAUAUUAGGAGUAAUACCGGUGGCGAAGGCGACUUUCUGGCCAUUAUCUGACGCUGAGGUACGAAAGCGUGGGUAGCAAACAGG